rnacentral:rRNA from 1 species
CCUACCUUUUAGCGGGGGAUAACUUUUGGAAACGAAAGAUAAUACCGCAUGUUAGUAUUAUUAUCGCAUGACAAAAUAUUCAAAGAUCCGUUUGGAUCACUAAAAGAUGGGGAUGCGGCGUAUUACUUAUUAGGCGAGGUAAUGGCUCACCUAGACGAUGAUACGUAGCCGAACUGAGAGGUUGAUCGGCCACAUUGGGACUGAGAUACGGCCCAAACUCCUACGGGAGGCAGCAGUAGGGAAUUUUUCACAAUGGACGAAAGUCUGAUGAAGCAAUGCCGCGUGAGUGAUGACGGCCUUC